CCCUAUAAAGUAUAUAUAUUCUUGAUCAGGGUCACUAGCCGAGUCGAUAUAGCCAUGGUCUUUGGUUUGAUGCAUUAAGGAGAAGUUGCAAUGUUGCGUUAUUGAGAUCUAAACCAUAUGCAAUGCCCCUAAAGCUCGAUUGCUUUACGAUAUGUGUAUAUGUACAUACAUAUGCACAUUUAACUUCUUGGGCUUAGCUUAGCCACCUAUUCUACUACUCUUUCCUUUUUUCUUGUUUUCUAUAUUUCUACAUUCUUUCUUAUUCCUAACGGACUAAUUCCAAUCAACGUGCGUCACACACAUGUUUUUGUUUUUGUGUGAAGAGACUCUCUCUUCAAGAGAGACACAGUGCGAGAGGGAUGGUGACUGAGAGUGUUAGCUCGGCAGGCGAUCGGUGGAUUGACAUGGCGUCAGUUUAAUUUUGGACUCGGGCGAGGAAGCAGUCAUGAAAAAGCAACAAAGGAACAAAAAAGGAAAACAACGAUAUGAUUUAAUUUAAUAAAUAACAGAAUACGUCGAAGUACGAAAGGAAAACCUUCAAGAGAUCGGAAAAAGUAAUACGAUUUAUUUAAAUACGGAGAAAAAGCAACAAAGGAACAAAAAAGGAAAACAACGAUAUGAUUUAAUUUAAUAAAUAACAGAAUACGUCGAAGUACGAAAGGAAAUCCUUCAAGAGAUCGGAAAAAGUAAUACGAUUUAUUUAAAUACGGAGAAAAAGCAACAAAGGAACAAAAAAGGAAAACAACGAUAUGAUUUAAUUUAAUAAAUAACAGAAUACGUCGAAGUACGAAAGGAAAACCUUCAAGAAAUCGGAAAAAGUAAUACGAUUUAUUUAAAUACGGAGAAAAAGCAACAAAGGAACAAAAAAGGAAAACAACGAUAUGAUUUAAUUUAAUAAAUAACAGAAUACGUCGAAGUACGAAAGGAAAACCUUCAAGAGAUCGGAAAAAGUAAUACGAUUUAUUUAAAUACGGAGAAAAAGCAACAAAGGAACAAAAAAGGAAAACAACGAUAUGAUUUAAUUUAAUAAAUAACAGAAUACGUCGAAGUACGAAAGGAAAACCUUCAAGAGAUCGGAAAAAGUAAUACGAUUUAUUUAAAUACGGAGGAAACAGGGAAAAUUAACAAUUACAAAAUUCGUUUCGAAGACAUUUUUCUUAAUUUUUUUUUUUAUAAAAUUCAAAAAGUAAACUCUGUUUCGUUAAUAAAUAAUGUUUUAUAUUAGCUAAUAGGGAAUGGCUCUUAAAAUAGUAAUAGUACAAUUUUCUAAAAGUUCAAGAUUGAUGGGGGUGUAUAUUUUUUUAAUUAAAAAAAUGUAACGGCAAAUGUUAUUUAUUCAGGAAUAAAUAAGGGGGUAAUUAUGGAUAACAAAGAGGUUUUCGGGUAAUUAAAGGCAAAUUAAGAACAAAAUUAAAAUUUAAAAUUUUAUUAUUUUAGCUUUGCUAACUUUAUGUACAUUACAAAUUUUUUUGUUUUUUUUAAGUAAGAAAAGCCCAUCUAAGCUUACCUCUUCGAAAUCAAUAAUAAAAAAGUCCGUUUGGCCGCAUCUCAAAAAUUGUUUUUAUUAAAAAAAAAGUUUUCCAACCACUUAAAAAUAAUAUUUAAAAUAUUAACAAAUAUGAACUAUGUAAAAACAUAAAAUUGUGUUUAUUCAGGAAUAAUUUCCGGGAAAAAUAUGGAUAACAAAUAGGUUACGGACAAUUAAUAAAUUAAAAUUUUAAAGUUGCACUGCUAACUCUGUGCACAUAACAAAUUAAUUUUUUUUAGUAAGAAAAGGCCAUUUGUGCACAAAUUCGUUUUAGUAAUAAAUAAAAAUUGUAUAUAUUAUAUAUACAGACUUGUCUUUAAAUAAUAAAUUUCUAAUGCUUUAUUCGAUUCAAACAACACUUUCUAUUUCAAAGACGUAUAUAUUGUUGUGUGUAAAUCAAAAUUUGACUUUUUUAAAUUUUAAAUUAAAUUUUAUUUUAUGAACGAAGUAAAACAGCGGUUACGAUCGCAUUUUCAAAAUACAAAAUUUUUAAUAUCAAAUUUUGUGAUAAAAAAUCUUUAAGGUGAUGGUAUACAUCCCAUUAUUGGCCAAUCAAUCUGACC